ensembl:snRNA U6 U6 spliceosomal RNA
GCGCUGGCUUUGGCAGCGCAUAUGCUAAAAAUCAAAAGGAUAUAGAGAAGCAUAGCAUGGCCCCUGUGGAAGGACACGUGGGAAUGGCAAAAGGAACAUUGUAGA